rnacentral:rRNA from 1 species
UACGGAGGGUGCAAGCGUUAUCCGGAUUCACUGGGUUUAAAGGGUGCGUAGGUGGGCAGGUAAGUCAGUGGUGAAAUCUCCGGGCUUAACUCGGAAACUGCCAUUGAUACUAUCUGUCUUGAAUACCGUGGAGGUUAGCGGAAUAUGUCAUGUAGCGGUGAAAUGCUUAGAUAUGACAUAGAACACCAAUUGCGAAGGCAGCUGGCUACACGAAUAUUGACACUGAUGCACGAAAGCGUGGGGAGCAAACAGG